rnacentral:rRNA from 1 species
UACAGAGGUCUCAAGCGUUGUUCGGAUUCAUUGGGCGUAAAGGGCGCGUAGGCGGGCCGGCAAGUCCGGGGUGAAAUCCCACGGCUCAACCGUGGAAUAGCCUUGGAUACUGCCGGUCUCGAGGGAGGUAGGGGCGUGUGGAACUUCCGGUGGAGCGGUGAAAUGCGUAGAUAUCGGAAGGAACGCCGGUGGCGAAAGCGACGCGCUGGACCUCUUCUGACGCUGAGGCGCGAAAGCCAGGGGAGCAAACGGG